UACGUAGGGUGCAAGCGUUGUCCGGAAUUAUUGGGCGUAAAGAGCUCGUAGGCGGUCUGUCGCGUCUGCUGUGAAAACUCAGGGCUUAACCCUGAGCUUGCAGUGGGUACGGGCAGACUAGAGUGCGGUAGGGGAGACUGGAAUUCCUGGUGUAGCGGUGAAAUGCGCAGAUAUCAGGAGGAACACCGGUGGCGAAGGCGGGUCUCUGGGCCGUAACUGACGCUGGGGUGCGAAAGCAUGGGGAGCGAACAGG
rnacentral:rRNA from 1 species